rnacentral:rRNA from 1 species
AUUGAACGCUGGCGGCAGGCCUAACACAUGCAAGUCGAACGAGUGGCGGACGGGUGAGUAAUGUCUGGGAAACUGCCUGAUGGAGGGGGAUAACUACUGGAAACGGUAGCUAAUACCGCAUACCAUCGGAUGUGCCCAGAUGGGAUUAGUUAGGAGGUGGGGUAACGGCUCACCUAGGCGACGAUCCCUAGCUGGUCUGAGAGGAUGACGGGCGAAGAGGCAGCUGGGUCAAGGUGCAAACGCCUACGAGAAGCGGCAGUGGAGAAUGUGGAACAGUGGGCGAAGACCAGAAGCAGGCAUGCCGCGUCUGUGAGGAGGGAAAUAAGGUAUUAGAAUACUUACGGCGUGGAGAGGUAACCCGCUGAUGAAGCCCCGGCUGACUCCGUGCCAGCAGCCGCGGUAAUAC